GGUCUCUGGGUAGACCAAGGGCAGCAGCACCAGGUCUAUGAACAGAAACUACUCCGGGGUCGGGGGAGGGCCUCAAAGGAAAAACGGAAGGCAGGCGUAGGAAAAGACUGAAGGAAGGGAUAUAACACUCGGGUGGUCAGAGCAGAAGCUGAGACACAAGCCGCCAGCUUAGGUCGCUGUGCGGGACUGCAAACCAGGGGGAGCUCACAGGAGAGAAACAGGAGGGAACCAAGGUCUGAGGUGGGGCAGGAGGAAGAGGAGCGCAGUGUCACUAAGGGACUGGAGGACUCUGGAGGAAGAGCAGCUCUGAAGGAAACGCAGGGCCUCGCAGCUCAGGGCAGACAAGAGACAAAGAACUGCAAAGUGAUCGGCCGGUCCUGGGAGGAGGUUCACGAGCAGGGGGAGCUGGAGGUGAUCGGCGGAAAUGACAGAGGAUCUCCUGGCUCAAAGAGGGUCCUGCCGCACAGAACUGUGGAAAGAGACAGGUUUCAAGCAGAGAGGCUGCACACUGUGAGGCAGAGAAGGCGUCAAGGAAGGAACAAGACACCUCUGGGAGGCCGAGGUAUUCUAAACUCUGGGGUCCAGAAGGGCGUCUUCCAGCGCAGAGGUCCUGUGACACAGCCACCUAGUACGUCAAAAGAAGUCCUCAGAGAAUAUUUUCCGAAUAAAUAAAUGAGUUUAGACUUGCAGAAAUGUUAGCUAUUAUUAUUUGGGGGAAUAUUUUGUGUGUGCUGCCCUAUCCUUUGUUAAAAUUUCACUGGGAAUGGGGCGGGGAGGGGGUGGAUCUUAGUUUAUAAAUAAAAUUCCCAGCCUCU
rnacentral:lncRNA from 1 species